UUAUGAUUAUUAAGAGGCUUGUUUAGCAAGUGGUGGAAGCUCCUGUCUUUCAGUGGUAGCUCCACCAUCAAUAAGUUGAUCAACUUCAAGGCUUCUUCAAAAUAGCUAGUUUUUACUGUUACUUGUUUAUAUCAUGAAACCAUUUAAUUAAACUUUUUUCACCUCAUCUUUUUUGAGGGAGUGUCUUCGAUCUGUAGAUGUAGUUAAUUAUGGUGAUUUAAUCAAAUAUAGGAAUGAGUUGCAUUUGUAUCGUAAGAGAGUUGUUGCGCUAAUUAAUUAUAGCCGGUUUUCAAUAGCCUUUACAAAUGCAACUCAAUCAUAUAGCUUAACAGAUGGUAAGUUAGGGACGAAAUAAUCGGAGACAUACUGUGGUGUAGUAGGUGAUGAUGAUUGAAUUUUGUUGGAACAAGAAAGCUUUUAGGUUGAAGUAGUUUAUAUAUUUAAUUCGGUCCUUCACUUUUUUGACAAAGUGGGUUAGGGUUGGUGCAAGAUGCUGGUCUUCUUGAUCUCAUUAUUAAAUCCAUUUCAUAAAGGCCAAAAACCAAACUUUUUUCCACAAAACGCUUAUCAUGUCUCAAACUCAUAUUAGUUCUCUUUCUUUUGGGAAGUACAUUUUGAUUCCAAUUAUGUGUAUAGGGUCUGCACUAAAAACAACUUAACUCAUAUAGUAAUAGGAUGGUUAUAAUUUUGUUGUUG
rnacentral:lncRNA from 1 species